rnacentral:lncRNA from 1 species
CUUUAGUUGAACCCAGGUACCUUUCUCUUUGGCUUCUUUCUUUUUCUGAUCAUUUUCCUUCACACGUUUCAGGAAGCUAUCUCGGCUCUUAGAGUGCUUAAUGUGCUCAAUACGCACAUUAAUUCUCUUGGCAAGAAUCUUGCCCUUAACUUGUUUGUUUACAACAAUGCCAACAGCAUGCUGGGUAACAUUGUAGACUCUUCCAGUUUUGCCAUGGUAACACUUGUGGGGCAUUCCUUUUUGAACAGUACCCAUUCCCUUGAUGUCUACAAUAUCACCUUUCUUAUAGAUUCGCAUAUAUGUGGCCAAAGGAACAACUCCAUGUUUUCUAAAAGGCCUAGAGAACAUAUAUCGGGUGCCUCUCCUCUUUCCCUUUGUGUUCGUCAUUUUGGCGAAUUACUGGAAGAUGGCGGUUCCGGCCGAAAGGGCAAGAUGCAUAUUGGAUAUCUAAAUAGAGAUAUCAAGAAAUGAAGAUAUGCAUUUCCAGUUCCAGAGAGAAAUUCACACUGGAAAUAUAAAUUUAGGAAUUUUAAAGUUAGUGGUCACAUUUAAAGCUGCAGAAUACAAAGAGAUCACCUGUGUGAGAGAACUGAGUCCUGAAACAUACCCGUGUUUAAAGAUCUGGGAGGUGCAGAGGAAUUAUCAAAGGAGGCUGAGAAGGAGCAGCCAGUGAGGUGUGUAGAAAAACAAGAUAAGCAAAAAGAAAAGCAAGAGAUAUGGAACUGAACUUCCCUUUGGCAAAAAAUUUAGAAAAUGAUAAUGAGGCCUUGGAGAUACAACAAUGGUACAAGAGAACAUAUUCACGACCACAAGAAGCUGACAGACUAGGUAUACUGAGGAAAUAAAAUUAAGACAGACUGAAGCCAAAUCAGGGGAAUCUUCAGGCUUGCUCCAGGAAAUCAUAGGAUCAAUUAUUGGACCAUCUACUACUCUGCCUUUCCAUCCCCAUGAAACACUGAGAUGAUUUAUAUGAAUGAAAUUGCUGGUGAUUUUCCAGGUCCAACAUGAGUUAGUUAGUAAAUCUUACGCACCAUGGCAGGUGGAGAUGGAGAGAUGAUCCUUAGGCAGACCCAGGUUGACCCUAGAGUUAGAAAAUAUUAUUUUUCCCCAUGCACACACACACACACACACACACACACACACACACACACCACUAGACAAUUCCUCAUAACCUUGACAUGAAAAUGCCACAGAGUGAGUGGUAAAAAUAGAAAAAUGCCUGCUUUCUGUAGCUAUAGAACAUAUGGGAAAAUAAAAUCCUUAAAAUGACAUUAGACGACAAACUUUUUGUGAUACUAUCUAUAUCCCCUCCAACAAACAGGACCCAUUCUCCAUCCCUCAGGUUGGAGGCUGGAACAUUAGAAAUUCCCAAAGGAAAAUACUAUAUGGAUAGAAGAAUUGGCCAUGGAUUGGCAGAAAAAAAAAAGAUCUUCUUUUUUAUUAUCACUCUUAAAACCUCUUAACAUUGAAAC